rnacentral:rRNA from 1 species
AGUGAACGCUGGCGGUAGGCCUAACACAUGCAAGUCGAACGGCAGCACAGUAAGAGCUUGCUCUUACGGGUGGCGAGUGGCGGACGGGUGAGGAAUACAUCGGAAUCUACUUUUUCGUGGGGGAUAACGUAGGGAAACUUACGCUAAUACCGCAUACGACCUACGGGUGAAAGCAGGGGAUCUUCGGACCUUGCGCGAUUGAAUGAGCCGAUGUCGGAUUAGCUAGUUGGCGGGGUAAAGGCCCACCAAGGCGACGAUCCGUAGCUGGUCGGAGAGGAUGAUCAGCCACACUGGAACUGAGACACGGUCCAGACUCCUACGGGAGGCAGCAGUGGGGAAUAUUGGACAAUGGGCGCAAGCCUGAACCAGCUAUACCGCGUGGGUGAAGAAGGCCUUCGGGUUGUAAAGCCCUUUUGUUGGGAAAGAAAAGCAGCAGGUUAAUACCCCGCUGUUCUGACGGUACCCAAAGAAUAAGCACCGGCUAACUUCGUG